AGUCUUUGCCCGAGCGCUUCCGAGAGCCAGUUCUGGACUGAUCGCCUUGGAUGGGAUACCGGGGGAGGGCAGAAGGACACUUGGCUUCCUCUCCAGGAAUCUGAGCGGCCCUGAGGUCCGGGGGCGCAGGGAAUCCCCUCUCCCGCCGCCGCCGCCGUGUCUGGUCUGUACGUCUUUAGAGGGUCGAGGAAGUCACGUCGGGACAGACUGGGGCGAGUAAGGUUAAGAAAGGCUGACAUGUUUUAUGUUUUAGUGACGACGCUUAAUAGGCUGUAUAUCUGCUCUAUAUGCAGCACAUACAUACAUAGCUUUUUAAAAAACUCUUAUUUUGUGGAAUGAAAUAGCUACCUUCAGUGUACAUAGCUGUAAUUUAUCUUUGUAGCUAAGUUGCUUUCAACAGAAGAAAUACUGUUCUCCGUACCUUCACCCCCUCCUUGUUUCUUGGAAAGAGAGGCGGGAAAGGUAAAUUCUCCUCAUAAUACUGGUCCUAAGCAGUUACCCUGUAAAUAGUUAAUGUGAGCUCCACGGGUCACCAAUAUAAAGUUUCCUGCCUUCUGAUGGACAAAGGAAGCGGCGAUGGCCAGAAUUUGCAGGGACGCUAAAUGUCCAAAACGUAUGCCUUAAGGCAUUUCUCUCCCUGAUGCGUGGAUUAUUUUGGUUACUAGCCCUUCAUAGGAGAUACUGGUAAAAUAAAUUCGAGUUUUAAAGUUCA
rnacentral:lncRNA from 1 species